GGUUCUUCUCGUUCAUGAUGUCGUCCUCCGGUUCCGGAGCCAUGGCUGUCCUCCUGAGCGAGCGGCGCUUUCCGGCGGCGAGGGGAGGCGAGGCGCGAGGAGGCGGAGGCGGCGAGGGGAAGCGAGGGGAGGCGAGGCGCGAGGAGGCGGAGGCGGCGAGGGGAGGCGAGGCGAGGCGCGAGGAGGCGGACGAGGAGAUUGGAGAUGUCUUCGUCUGGGGUACUUCGACUACUCGGCGGCGAGGGGAGGCGAGGGGAGGCGAGGCGCGAGGAGGCGGGCGAGGAGAUUGGAGAUGUCUUCGUCUGGGGUACUUCGACU
rnacentral:lncRNA from 1 species